GUCUACCUACGGGACGCAGCAGUGGGGAAUAUUGCACAAUGGGCGAAAGCCUGAUGCAGCAACGCCGCGUGAAGGAAGAAGGGUUUCGGCUCGUAAACUUCUAUCAACAGGGCCGCAAGAAAUGACGGUACCUGAAUAAGAAGCCCCGGCUAACCACGUGCCAGCAGCCGCGGGAAUACGUAGGGGGCAAGCGGUAUCCGGAAUUACUGGGCGUAAAGGGGGAGUAGGCGGC
rnacentral:rRNA from 1 species